rnacentral:rRNA from 1 species
GACGAACGCUGGCGGCGUGCUUAACACAUGCAAGUCGAACGAAGUGUCGAACGGGUGAGUAAUACGUGGGUAACCUGCCCUCCUUUUUGGGAUAAGCCUUGGAAACGGGGUCUAAUACCCACUAUAGGGGGAUGGGCUCGCGGCGUAUCAGCUUGUUGGUGGGGUGGUGGCCUACCAAGGCGGUGACGGGUAGCCGGCCUGAGAGGGUGACCAGCCACAUUGGGACUGAGAUACGGCCCAGACUCCGACGGGAGGCAGCAGUGGGGGAUAUGGCACAAUGGGCGAAAGCCUGAUGCAGCGACGCCGCGUGGAGGAUGAAGGCGUUCGGGUUGUAAAGUACGUUCAGCGGGGAGGCGUUACCCGCAGAAGAAGCACCGGCUAACUCCGUGCCAGCAGCCGCGGUAAUAC